UCCGCAGUAGCUCAGUGGUAGAGGCUAUCGCUGUUAACCGAUCGUCGUAGGUUCGAGUCCUACCUGCGAGCCA
rnacentral:tRNA from 1 species